rnacentral:lncRNA from 1 species
AUGUUUACCCAUUUUUAUUCCAAAAUCUUUUUUAUUUCACCGGAUCAAACAUUCAUGCAUUUUAUUUGGGAUGGCAAGGUACCAUGGAUUGGUAGAAAACAUUUACAGAAGCCUAGGUCAUUGGGGGGUUUAGCUCUACCAAAUUCUCAGACAUACUACUGGGCUGCAAAUUUCAGAGCCGUUCUGUACUGGCUGCAGACGGAUCCUACUGGCCCUAGACCACUCUGGGUCCAGAUGGAGUCUGAAUCGUGUAAACCUGCAGCACUUUCCUCUGUGUUGUGCUCGUCUCUCCCAGUGUCCCUAGGCAAAAGGUGUGUCAACCCAAUUGUAAAGCAGUCUCUUAAAAUUUGGAAUCAGUUCCAUUUAGCCUUUAGCCUCCCAGGCUUUUCUCUAUCAGGCCCAAUCAAUCAGAACAUUUUAUUUCCUCCAUCUUUGAAUGAUGGGGCUUUUGGCAUUUGGCACUCACUAGGCCUCUCCUCGCUAGCCCAAUUAUUUUUUGAUGAUACAUUUGCCUCUUUUUCUCAGCUGCAGGAAAAGUUCAAUCUGCCCCAAUCCCACUUUUUCCACUAUCUCCAGACUAGAAACUUUGUCAGAGCUAACACACCUGGAUUUCCCCAUAGGCCUGCGAAUACAGCUAUAGAGAGCAUCUUGGAGCUGAACAAGCUUCCUAGGGGCGCAAUUUCAGAUGUAUAUGCAAUCAUUCAUGACCUACAGAACCCUUCUUUGGUGCCUUUAAAGACUCGAUGGGAAAAGGAUUUGGGGGAGGAACUUGGGGAAGACGCCUGGGAAUCUGUGCUGCACAGGGUGCACUCGUCCUCUUUUAGCACUAGACACAGCCUCAUUCAAUUCAAGGUGGUUCACCGUAUCCACUGGUCGGGGGCCAAACUUGGAAGAAUAUUCUCUGAUUUUGAUCCUACCUGUGUCAGAUGUAAAGUGGAAUCAGCCACACUGUUGCAUAUGUUUUGGGGCUGUCAUAAACUGUCAGGUUUCUGGGAAUUAAUAUUUAAAUAUUUCUCUGAUAUAUAUGACACUGUUAUAGAUCCGUCUCCCCUUACAGCCCUUUUUGGAGUACUGCCCAUAGGUACCCCCCUAUCAGCAAUCCACUGUUGCUUAUACAACUCUUUUGGCUAG